CUGGCCCUACGGGGCGCAGCAGUGAGGAAUAUUGGUCAAUGGGCGAGAGCCUGAACCAGCCAAGUCGCGUGAGGGACGACGGCCCUACGGGUUGUAAACCUCUUUUGCCGGGGGACAAACGGCGGCACGCGUGCCGUCCUGAGGGUACCCGGAGAAAAAGCAUCGGCUAACUCCGUGCCAGCAGCCGCGGCAAUACGGAGGAUGCGAGCGUUAUCCGGAUUUGUUGGGUUUAAAGGGUGCGUAGGCGGGAUGCCAAGUCAGCGGUCAAAUACGGGGGCUCAACCUGCGCGCGCCGUCGA
rnacentral:rRNA from 1 species